AUGUGUCUUGUAACAUUACCAUGAAAAUCCUAUGUACUAUUCUUCUCUAAGCUGUAUUUGCAGGAACAUUGAAGCUUAUUUUUUCCUUUAUACAAAACCAUUUCCCUAUUGUAUUAUUCUUCGCUCAGCAAGCUGUAUUUGCAGCAGUAUAUACUGCAUCCUUUUUCCUUUUAUUGUCCAUGUUGAAAUAAGAAGAAAACUCUUUAUUUUAUAUUCCGAUUUCCUUAAUUCUCUGGUUAUAAUGGG
rnacentral:lncRNA from 1 species